rnacentral:rRNA from 1 species
AUUGAACGCUGGCGGCAGGCCUAACACAUGCAAGUCGAACGGCAGCACAGAAGAGCUUGCUCUUUGGGUGGCGAGUGGCGGACGGGUGAGUAAUGUCUGGGAAACUGCCCGAUGGAGAGGGAUAACUACUGGAAACGGUAGCUAAUACCGCAUAACGUCGCGAGACCAAAGUGGGGGACCUUCGGGCCUCACACCAUCGGAUGUGCCCAGAUGGGAUUAGCUAGUAGGUGGGGUAAUGGCUCACCUAGGCGACGAUCCCUAGCUGGUCUGAGAGGAUGACCAGCCACACUGGAACUGAGACACGGUCCAGACUCCUACGGGAGGCAGCAGUGGGGAAUAUUGCACAAUGGGCGCAAGCCUGAUGCAGCCAUGCCGCGUGUAUGAAGAAGGCCUUCGGGUUGUAAAGUGCUUUCAGCGGGGAGGAAGGCGGUGAGGUUAAUAACCUCGCCGAUUGACGUUACCCGCAGAAGAAGCACCGGCUAACUCCGUGCCAGCCGCCGCCGUAA